rnacentral:rRNA from 1 species
UACGUAGGGUGCAAGCGUUAAUCGGAAUUACUGGGCGUAAAGCGUGCGCAGGCGGUUUUGUAAGUCAGAUGUGAAAUCCCCGGGCUUAACCUGGGAACUGCAUUUGUGACUGCACGGCUAGAGUGUGUCAGAGGGGGGUAGAAUUCCACGUGUAGCAGUGAAAUGCGUAGAUAUGUGGAGGAAUACCGAUGGCGAAGGCAGCCCCCUGGGAUAACACUGACGCUCAUGCACGAAAGUGUGGGGAGCAAACAGG